rnacentral:tRNA from 1 species
GGGGGGGUAGCUCAGCGGACAGAGCGCAGCGAACUUGCAUAUUGUGGCUUUCCCUAAGAACAGCGAAACGUACCCUAAGAUGCCGGUUCCUAAGGUCAUGGGUUCGAAUCCCAUCUCUCCUA